GCCGGGUGUGGUGGUGCACGCCUGUAGUCCCAGCUACUUGGGAGGCUGAAGCAGGAGAAUUGCUUGAACCUGGGAGGCAGAGAUUGCAGUGAGCUGACAUCAUGCCACUGCAUUCCAGCCUGGGUGACAGAGUGAGACUCUGUCUCAA
rnacentral:SRP_RNA from 1 species